CGUGCACGGCCACCACCACGAGCACACUCCGGGAGACACGGAGCAAAAGAACAUUGAGAAAGGCCCUUGGUUUUAGGGAGCGAGCAAGACCAAAACGAAGUGCACUCGUAGCGGCCGCCUUAAAUUAAAGAAAUAGUUAGGGAAAUCAAAAGGAUAGGAAAGGUAAGAAAGAAGAAGCAAAGAGUAAGGGAGAAGUACAAAAAUAAAAAUUGAGAUUUUAAAGAACAUUUGAGGAUAUUGAAUUGAAUAUGAAGGGAGAUUCAAAUUGAAAA
ensembl:ncRNA H05O09.3 ncRNA